AGAGUUUGAUCAUGGCUCAGGAUGAACGCUAGCGGCAGGCCUAAUACAUGCAAGUCAAGGGGUAGCAAUACACCGGCGGACGGGUGCGUAACGCGUACACAACGUACCUCAGAGCGGGGGAUAGCAUUGGGAAACUGGUGGUAAAACCCCAUGGUGUUGUUGAAUGGCAUCAUUUAACAACUAAAGGUUACACUCUGAGAUCGGUGUGCGUCUGAUUAGCUAGUUGGUGGGGUAACGGCCCACCAAGGCGACGAUCAGUAGGGGGUGUGAGAGCAUGACCCCCCACAUGGGUACUGAGACACGGACCCAACUCCUACGGGAGGCAGCAGUAAGGAAUAUUGGACAAUGGGCGAAAGCCUGAUCCAGCCAUGCCGCGUGAAGGAUGAAGGCGCUCAGCGUUGUAAACUUCUUUUGGACGGGAACAAUAUCCCCGACUUGUCGGGGCUUGAGGGUACCGUCAGAAUAAGCACCGGCUAACUCCGUG
rnacentral:rRNA from 1 species